GACGAACGCUGGCGGCGUGCUUAACACAUGCAAGUCGAACGAAGUGGCGAACGGGUGAGUAACGCGUAAUCAACCUGCCCUUCAGAGGGGGACAACAGUUGGAAACGACUGCUAAUACCGCAUACUGAAGGAGGGGAUUGCGUCUGAUUAGCUAGUUGGAGGGGUAACGGCCCACCAAGGCGAUGAUCAGUAGCCGGUCUGAGGGGAGGAACGGCCAACUCGGGAAUGGGGAACGGCCCAGACUCCUAAGGGAGGCAGCAGUGGGGAAACUUCCGCAAUGGACGAAAGUCUUACGGAGCAACGCCGCGUGAGUGAUGACGGCUUUCGGGUUGUAAAGCUCUGUUAAUCGGGACGCGGUACCGAAAUAGAAAGCCACGGCUAACUACGUGCCAGCAGCCGCGGUAAUUC
rnacentral:rRNA from 1 species